rnacentral:rRNA from 1 species
UACAGAGGGUGGAAGCGUUAAUCGGAAUUACUGGGCGUAAAGCGCACGUAGGCGGUUUUUUAAGUCAGAUGUGAAAGCCCCGGGCUCAACCUGGGAAUUGCAUUUGAAACUGGGAAACUAGAGUGUGUGAGAGGGGGGUAGAAUUCCAAGUGUAGCGGUGAAAUGCGUAGAGAUUUGGAGGAAUACCAGUGGCGAAGGCGGCCCCCUGGCACAACACUGACGCUCAGGUGCGAAAGCGUGGGGAGCAAACAGG